AUGUACCUGCGUGACAGCGAGCGGUGGUCAUUAUGUGUCAUUGCAGAAAGUGUUGAAAUGUUUACAGUUGAAAAGCAAAUAGGAAUCUGUAUUUUUUCUUCUUCAAUUGAUUGAAUAUUAUCACGUUUAGUAACGAUCAGAGGCCUGUCGGCAAGACUUAUGAAUCACAAAUCAAUCGCCAUUGGAGUGUAGGGGAGGCAAAUGGCCAUCUGCCUCAAGUUGGAUGAUGUCGCUUGAAAGUGGCUCUGGAUCUUCACCCACCCAAAUCAAAAAUGGAAAACCUCUUGGAGACUGGUAUUACGUAAAUGAGUUGCAUGACAGCAGGAUGGGAGUUCAAAACAGCUCACACAUAGCCUACAUGGUCUCCCCUUGAAUGCUAGUGCUAAAACUUUUUUUUUUUUUCAUUGAAAUGAACACGUCUUCAGUAUUUUCCUAUUGUUGACUUUUAAACCGGACUCUGGUGCUUGUGUUUCCUGGCCCUGAAACGGCCCUUGGUGGAUGCCACAUUCAAGAGAGCUUAUGAAAUUCUCCUGUUCAGUGAGCAAGUACCUCUAUUGCUUCCUUCUCCACUCACUCGACUGCAAUGUUUGAAAGGGGCCAAUCCCAUACCGCUGUACGGCACAAGUAACCAUCGAAAACUCAAGACGACAUCCUCACAAGAGUCCCUUGAAUCGCUGCGCGUCACCCAGUUUCCACUCCCGUUAUGGCUGUGGCUCCUCGGAGCAUAACCGUGUGGCCCCAUGUUAAAAGUUGAGCAGGGCCGCUACUUAUGUUUAUUGUCUUGUUCACAGCAGCUGAGCCAAAAGACACUUGAGAACGCACACUUGGACAGAGAGAGGCGCCUGUCUUAUGGUGGUGGCAAUUGACGGAAUGGAUGGCGUGUUUACAAGUGCCUGACUACCAUCCAAGUGUGAAAUUAAACAACCAAGUAAAUUGUUUGUAAGCUGCCUAUACAGUAUAUGAAAAUACACUUUGGCCUCAUUGUGAUGUAACAUUGGGGCGAGUUUACAUAGUAACCACACUGUGUUGCAUUGCCCAUGACUUGUUCAGCUCAGAUCCAGAGCCACUUUCAAGUGACUCGACAAUGUCCCACCAUUUCCAACCUCCCCCCUCCACACACACACAUACACACUUUGAUGCUCACUGAGCUGUGUUUGUGUUUUUUUUUUUUUGUCUUCCUUGCAGGCCAUUUAACAACUGAUCAAGGCUCAUUUGUUCACGCACCAGCACCCACACCUGACGCUAAAGAUGGAUGGGACAGGAUAGGGGAGAUGAUGUACAUCCUCCACCACACCAUUCAUCUGCAUCAAGGCAUGGGCCAAAAUAUUUGGAUGUAGGUGACGUCAUCGCCCUCGGCCGUGUCCUCGGCGUGUUUCCUCUUCUCCUCCUCCAGAUCCAUGAUCACCUAAAUACAAGACAGAGACCCACCAUUCUGUGCCUGCUUUCCGCUGCCGCUAACUGGGCCAGCAUCUUCUCCUGCAUCCUCCUGCAGUGGCUAACUACCAGCUUGAGCACCACCAGCGGGUUGGAAGUGGCCGCGUGUUCCUUGCCCCGGUGAUCUCCCACCACCUCGCCGUCUCUCUGUAGCGCAAGGAAGGGGUCGCUGAGGUCGUAGCGGCCGUAGCGCUCCUGGACGAAGAACUCUUUGCGCUGAGCCUGAUGAUGACACAGAUGGCCAGGGCCUGUUUCUGGGCCGAGAGCCAGGCGAGAUGUCUCGAAGCAGGUGACGCAGCGCCAAGAUGGUUCACGGCGUGAAAAGGUCUCAACAAAAGAGGAUCAAGAGAUUACAGUGAACGCCAUCCUCUUUGGAAGAGUGACGACGGAGUGGACAGCGUUGUACAAGACGGUGGGUGGCACGUCUGAGGUUAGCUCGGCACAGCGAUUGUUUCUUAUCAGAAAUGAAACUAGAGGAACAGACCAUAAGCACGCCACAUAUUUUUAAUUCGACAUUUGCUAAUUUUGUUAAUAUAACUGAAAACCUUUUCCUAUUUUGUGUAAUUUCGCAACAGAAAAUUGCCAGUGACUGAAAAAUGCGGCGGAGACGAUGAAGAUGUCGGGGCUGGACAUGAAGCUUCCCGUGAAGAGUCUCCCCUCUCACACGCCUUCCAUGUUUUCUACAGAUUCAUCAAAGUUAAGGCUACGUGCAUCACUUUUUUUCUCUUUCAAUUAGUCAUGGAGGUCACUUUAAAAAAAAGUAGAUGACAAAUUGUGUUUUUUUCUGUAAAAGCAGCCCACAUCCCGUCAGUGUGCUUAUGUGUCAUUUUAGUAAAGAUCUUAGGUCAGACUUUCCAUUCUGGGUGUUUGUGUUGCACAAGGACACCCUUAAUCAUGAACGGUGUUCAUCACUACGGCUCGAAUGAAAAAAAAAAAAGAAUCAAUGCUUAGUCUGCACCUAUUUCCAUUAGUCUGCUCUGUAAAGCAAGGGACUGGCGGAAUACCCCAAAAAAAAGCAUUUGAAAAAUAAAAUCAUUUGAAAUUACGACGAGGACAAACCGAUGUUAAACAUGACAUAGAAAAUUAUUAAUUAGACUGCGCACUUGUAAAUUUCUGAGCACUUGUGUUUUCUAUCUGAGGUUUUGUGUGUCUGCUCUUAGAAUCAUCCAAGGAAUGAACUGCAAAGCCAAACAUCAGUGCUGUAAUUCACGACUGGAUCACUGUGGCUACUGCAGAUCUGUGGGCCAAAGACGAGAGUUGCCAGGAGAAGUAAAAAAAAAACACAAAAAAAACAACAACUUCCCUUUCAAAGUCGAGCAGCUGCAGAAGUGACUCAUGAAAGGGGGAAAGAAAAUGCAGCAAUAGUUUUACAAUUCCAUACAUGUGCAAAGAGAGGUGAAUUAUUUUUUUCUAUGAAUUUCAGUAAUUUGACUGCAUCCUAGUUACCAAUAAUUUUUCUUCUUCAAAGCUAAAAGAAGCUUUUGUCAUUGUGGUGAUUUGUGGAUUUUCCAUUUCUCACAUGAGAACGACACGGGCUAUUACCAGAAGUAGUUUUUUUUUUUUUUACUGCGUGGGAUGGUCUAAAAGAAUUUGGGCUGAUGUUGUUCUCCUGAUAAUCAUCUUGUUAGCACAAAGAACACCAAGCAUUCCUUAAUGGUAUUUAAAAAAAAAAAAAAAAAGGGCAGGAAGUUUGUUCUCUUCCUUUUUUUUAAUCUUCACAUCCAGGGAAAA